GUCAUUUUCCCUAUUUGGAACCAAUUUCUUUUGUAAAAUGAAAAUCUCUAAGGUCCCUUCUAACUUGGUGAUUCUGAUUAAGUCUGGAUAUUUUUGCUGAAUACUACCCUAGAAAUGAUGAUUGCAUCACUAAUUUACUUUUUAAUUCAUCCUUUAUUAGCCAGACACUGUGCUGAGAUUUAACCCUAGACAAGAGGUAAUGAUUGUUAUAACAAUCCUGUGAGGUCAACUUGGGGUUGACAGUUACAUUUAUGGAUAAAGGGUCUCCAGACUGUAAGCACAUUAAGAAUGAAACACCACCCUGGAUGCUAUAAUCUUUAUAGGUCUGUAUUUCUUUUCCAAAAAAUAAAAAGAACAAAGUCAACACUCUCAGAACUGGGGGAAAACUCAGUAGAAACUCAACACUUUUUCAAUGAGAAAUACUUGAUGUCAUAUAUUUUGUUUAAUAAAGACU